AGGGGUGUAGCUCAACUGGUAGAGCAGCGGAUUCCAAAUCCGCAGGCUUCGGGUUCGAGUCCCGCCGCCCCUG
rnacentral:tRNA from 1 species